GGCAAACAGAGGAGCCGACGAGACGUUGCCGACUGAGAUGGUAACUUACUUGUUUUUUCCCCUUGUGCUGGGUUUAGUACCAAGGAAAAAGAAGUCAAGCCUCAGAGUCUACUGCCCUCAUGCAACGGAAAGUGAGUGAGAGCAGCGAGCCUGUGACCGUUGGUGAUGCCAGGCAAGAGGCCUCCAUCUGGGAGCCGAGCAAUCGCCAGUCUCGGUGAGGACACGGGUAGGUGUGCAUUCCCACAGGUGAGGUCUCGGGAGCCAUGGAGAAGUC